UGGGGAAUAUUGCACAAUGGGCGCAAGCCUGAUGCAGCCAUGCCGCGUGUAUCAAGAAGGCCUUCGGGUUGUAAAGUACUUUCAGCGGGGAGGAAGGCGAUAAGGUUAAUAACCUUGUCGAUUGACGUUACCCGCAGAAGAAGCACCGGCUAACUCCGUGCCAGCAGCCGCGGUAAUACGGAGGGUGCAAGCGUUAAUCGGAAUUACUGGGCGUAAAGCGCACGCAGGCGGUCUGUCAAGUCGGAUGUGAAAUCCCCGGGCUCAACCUGGGAACUGCAUUCGAAACUGGCAGGCUAGAGUCUUGUAGAGGGGGGUAGAAUUCCAGGUGUAGCGGUGAAAUGCGUAGAGAUCUGGAGGAAUACCGGUGGCGAAGGCGGCCCCCUGGACAAAGACUGACGCUCAGGUGCGAAAGCGUGGGGAGCAAACA
rnacentral:rRNA from 1 species